GCUUUUGUGGUGUAAUAGUCAGCACACUCGGCGCGUUUUUGAGAGGUCCGAGGUUCGAGUCCUGGCGAGGGCA
rnacentral:tRNA from 1 species